GGGCAGCCAUCGCCGAGUCCCCGUCAGGCGCGAGCCCGGGGAGCCGGGGACCCACGCAGUCCCUGGGGUGAAUCGGAUGCCCAUGCCUCGACGAGGUUCGGGACUCCGUAGGAGACCUUCCUGCUCCGAACCCGUCAGCUAACCCGGUAGGCGAGAAGGAAGGAAAGG
rnacentral:sRNA from 2 species